CCUGAGAAACCCAAAAGAUCGAAUGGGGAGAUUCAGCGUCAGCGCAUUUGGUAUAUGUGCAGAUUGCGAUGUGAGUUAUCCUUAUGGGAUAAUACUUGCACGUAUUUGUAUCAUUUAAUUGCUAAAUGUCGUCGGCGUGCACUUCUCCCCUAGUAGGACGUCGCGACCCGUUGGGUGUCGGUCUACGGCCCAGAUGGUAGUCUUUGAUGUUUGCCGCAAGGUAUUGAUGUUGAAGACCACUGGUGUUUCCUGACCGGCUGCCCGGCGGUAUUCGCACGGUAUUAAGCCGCUAUUUGUUAUGCGUCAAACUCACCACAAGCAUGAUUAGCGUUUUUCCUGGUAUACGGACUUUGUGCCGUCGCUAGGCCUAAUCAGCUGUUAGUUGUGUGAUGUUCUUUGACUGGCUUGAUAAUAAUAAUAAUACCGGUCGGCGACGCUAUGCUUUGG
rnacentral:rRNA from 1 species